rnacentral:rRNA from 1 species
CCUACGGGAGGCAGCAGUGGGGAAUAUUGGGCAAUGGGCGAAAGCCUGACCCAGCGACGCCGCGUGCGGGAUGAAGGCCUUCGGGUUGUAAACCGCUUUCAGCAGGGAAGAAGCGAAAGUGACGGUACCUGAAGAAGAAGCACCGGCUAACUAUGUGCCAGCAGCCGCGGUAAUACAUAGGGUGCAAGCGUUGUCCGGAAUUAUUGGGCGUAAAGAGCUCGUAGGUGGUUCGUUACGUCGGAUGUGAAAACCUGAGGCUCAACCUCAGGCCUGCAUUCGAUACGGGCGAACUUGAGUGUGGUAGGGGAGGCUGGAAUUCCUGGUGUAGCGGUGGAAUGCGCAGAUAUCAGGAGGAACACCAAUGGCGAAGGCAGGCCUCUGGGCCACUACUGACACUGAGGAGCGAAAGCGUGGGGAGCAAACAGGAUUAGAUACCCUGGUAGUCCACGCUGUAAACGGUGGGCACUAGUUGUGGGAACCUUCCACGGUUUCCGCGACGCAGCAAACGCAUUAAGUGCCCCGCCUGGGGAGUACGAUCGCAAGAUUAAAACUCAAAGGAAUUGACGG